GACGAACGCUGGCGGCGUGCCUAUUACAUGCAAGUUGAGCGCUGAAGGUUGGUACUUGUACCAACUGGAUGAGCAGCGAACGGGUGAGUAACGCGGGGGGAAUCUGCCUUUGAGCGGGGGACAACAUUUGGAAACAAAUGCUAAUACCGCAUAAAAACUUUAAACACAAGUUUUAAGUUUGAAAGAUGCAAUUGCAUCACUCAAAGAUGAUCCCGCGUUGUAUUAGCUAGUUGGUGAGGUAAAGGCUCACCAAGGCAAUGAUACAUAGCCAACCUGAGAGGGUGAUCGGCCACAUUGGGACUGAAACACGGCCCAAACUCCUACGGGAGGCAGCAGUAGGGAAUCUUCGGCAAUGGACAAAAGUCUGACCGAGCAACGCCGCGUGAGUGAAGAAGGUUUUCGGAUCGUAAAACUCUGUUGGUAGAGAAGAACGUUGGUGAGAGUGGAAAGCUCAUCAAGUGACGGUAACUACCCAGAAAGGGACGGCUAACUACGUG
rnacentral:rRNA from 1 species